CACACUCUCUGACCUCACGUCACUGAAGACCUUGGUCCUGAUACACUGGGUUGUCACCUGGGACGUGAGGGCACACUCUAUGACCUCCCCUCACUGAGGACCGUGGUCCUGAACAAUGGGCUCUCAACUGGGAGUUGAGGGCACACUGUCUGACCUCCCCUCACUGGGGACAUUGGUCCUGACACACUGGGCUGUCACCUGGGUGGUGAUGGCACAUUCUCUGACCUCCACUCACUGAGGACCUAGGCCCUGACACACUGGGCUGUCACCUGGAGAUGAGGGCACACUCUCUGACCUCCCCUCACUGAGGAAGUAUGUCCUGACACACUGGGCUGACACCUGCGAGGUGA
rnacentral:lncRNA from 1 species